AACGCACAUUGCGCCCUUUGGUAUUCCUUAGGGCAUGCCUGUUCGAGCGUCAUUCAACCCCUCAAGCACUGCUUGGUGUUGGGCGCUUGUCCCGCCUCGGGCGUGGACUCGCCUCAAAAUCAUUGGCGGCCCUUGUGAUCGGCUUCGAGCGCAGCACAUUAGCGUCUCGCGUCCGUCACAGGGGCGUCCAGCAAGCCUAUAACCCAAUUUUGACCUCGGAUCAGGUAGGGAUACCCGCUGAACUUAA
rnacentral:misc_RNA from 1 species